rnacentral:rRNA from 1 species
AGCGAACGCUGGCGGCAGGCCUAACACAUGCAAGUCGAGCGGGCACUUCGGUGUCAGCGGCAGACGGGUGAGUAACACGUGGGAACGUACCCUUCGGUUCGGAAUAACGCUGGGAAACUAGCGCUAAUACCGGAUACGCCCUUUUGGGGAAAGGUUUACUGCCGAAGGAUCGGCCCGCGUCUGAUUAGCUAGUUGGUGGGGUAAUGGCCUACCAAGGCGACGAUCAGUAGCUGGUCUGAGAGGAUGAUCAGCCACACUGGGACUGAGACACGGCCCAGACUCCUACGGGAGGCAGCAGUGGGGAAUAUUGGACAAUGGGCGCAAGCCUGAUCCAGCCAUGCCGCGUGAGUGAUGAAGGCCUUAGGGUUGUAAAGCUCUUUUGUCCGGGGCGAUAAUGACGGUACCGGAAGAAUAAGCCCCGGCUAACUUCGUG